AUGGGCCAUGGUGUGGCACCUAGAACAAAACAUGAUUAUGGCACCAUAGACUACUGGGGUGCGCUGGCAAAUACGGAGAAUAUAUCACAAUUCAACUGGUGUGAGUUUGUACUUGACUUUUUGCUAGAGGCAGUCCGGCGGCUUAAGAACGAUAUGAUGGCCAACAAUUUGAACACCAAUCUUGUUGGUUGCCACUUGUUUUUACAGAUAUUCUUCCUCGACAAUGUUGACCUUGGAAUUUUCAAUAAUAACCAUAAUGUCCUUCCUCACAUUAGUGACUUCGACCAAAGCAGCAUGAAGAACAUGAUAACAAUGGCGACUCACAUUGGGAAGGGCCCCACAUCCUACUCGAAAUGCAUGAUUCGUCAAGGUAAUGAUCUAUGCUACGCUCGUUGCAACAUUGCUGAUUCCACUGAGAGAACAUCCAACCAGCCAGUUGAUGGCGGCAAUAUGGAGGAAGAUGUUGGCAAGUUCAACAAUGACAGGAACGAUUCAGCUCAUGUAGCAUCUUCAGCUGUCGGGAACCUAAUGGAUGUUCAGACACCACUGCGUAUGCUUGGACCAAUGGACUUUAUAGAGCACAUGCAGAGCCGAUACCCCAGUCUGGUUAGGGAUGAGUUGAGUUUUAUAUUGAAGGAGCAGAAUGCCAAAUGCCAGCGUGAAAUCAACACCGCCCGCGCAAAUAUGCAGGCAGACAUGAUCAAAUUUGUGGACAAACUAAUGGCAUCAAUCAGCAAGAGGUGCAUCUGCUGUACUGCUAGAGGUUUUACUAACUGUCUGACAAGAGCAGUAGAUACAUUUCUAGUUGACACACUGAGGACUCCGGUCGGCCAGAAAAUACCAGGUGUCAGGCUCGAUAUGUCUGCUUGCAAAGAUGGCAACUCUGAACCGAGGUUCCAUGGUGAUGACCAGUCAGACCGUCAGCAGAACAAGAGGUUGCGACAUGAGGAAGGAGCACUCGCAACAAUGACAUCUCAGAUUUUUUCAGUUUGCAAGGCAGACACUGCAAGCUAUCAGUGA
rnacentral:rRNA from 1 species